CCUACGGGUGGCUGCAGUGAGGAAUAUUGGUCAAUGGGCGCGAGCCUGAACCAGCCAAGUAGCGUGAAGGAUGACUGCCCUCCGGGUUGUAAACUUCUUUUAUCAAGGAAUACAGUGAGGCACGUGUGCCUUUUUGUCUGUACUUUAUGAAUAAGGAUCGGCUAACUCCGUGCCAGCAGCAGAGCUAAUACGGAGGAUCCGAGCGUUAUCCGGAUUUAUUGGGUGUAAAUGGAGCGUAGAUGGGUUGUUAAGUCAGUUGUGAAAGUUUGCGGCUCAACCGUAAAAUGGCAAUUGAUACUGGCAGUCUUGAGUACAGUUGAGGUAGGCGGAAUUCGUGGUGUAGCGGUGAAAUGCUUAGAUAUCAGGAAGAACUCCGAUGGCGAAGGCAGCUUACUAAACUGCCACUGACAUUGAUGCUCGAAAGUGUGGGGAUCAAACAGGAUUAGAUACCCCAGUAGUC
rnacentral:rRNA from 1 species